GAGCCGGUAGUGUAGCUUGGCAACAUGAUUGGUUUGGGUCCAAUUGAUCGCGGGUUCGAAUCCUGCCCGGCUCA
rnacentral:tRNA from 1 species